AUUGAACGCUGGCGGCAUGCCUUACACAUGCAAGUCGAACGGUAGCAUGUCCUUCGGGAUGCUGACGCGUGGCGAACGGGUGAGUAAUAUGUAGGAAUAUACCUAUAGGUGGGGGAUAACUACUCGCAAGAGUAGCUAAUACCGCAUAACAUCUACGGAUUAAAGCAGGGGAUCGCAAGACAUUGUGCCAACAGAAUAGCCUACAUCCGAUUAGCUAGUUGGUGGGGUAACGGCCUACCAAGGCUACGAUGCGUAGCUGGUCUGAGAGGAUGAUCAGCCACACUGGAACUGAGACACGGUCCAGACUCCUACGGGAGGCAGCAGUGGGGAAUAUUGCGCAAUGGGGGAAACCCUGACGCAGCAACGGCGUGUGAGUGAGGAAGGCCUUCGGGUCGUAAAGCUCUGUCGGAUGGGAAAAAUGAUAGAUGGUCUAAUAGGCCGUUUAAGUGAUGGUACCAUCAAAGGAAGCACCGGCUAACUUCGUGCCAGCCGCCGCGGUAACAC
rnacentral:rRNA from 1 species